GGGGUUUUAGCUCAGCUGGGAGAGCGCCUGCCUUGCACGCAGGAGGUCAGGAGUUCGAUCCUCCUAAGCUCCACCA
rnacentral:tRNA from 3 species